UCUCUUUUGUUUUUGCCCCCUAGCCUCUCCUCUUCUUUUUAAAGUACUGGACAGGUUCAAUCUCUCACUCACUCACUCACACACACACUUCUGUCCAGUUUUUGUCCCCUGGCUUAUCCUCCUAUCCCUGAACACAUCUGGAGUGUAGGGGACCAAAUGGAACCAUAUUCUUCCCAAAACGUGGCUAUAUUUAUUUUUGCCAGAGGGGGGAGCCCCAGCUGCACACACACAUCAAGAUACAGAGUAUGAUGGGUGUACACAUGGAUGCUUUCUGUGUUCCAUCUCAACUAGACACUGCAUCGAGCCUGUAGCCUGUCUCUUCCUACUACAAGCACUUGGGUGAAGUUGUCUAAGGGCUGAUGGAGUCCGAUCAUGCUGUGAAGCUAGCUGUACCUGAGGAGAAGGAGAAAUUACCCUUCUGAGAGGCCAUCUACGUGUCUGAGAGGAACAAGCUCUUGAGGUCCUUUUGGUCAAAGAUGAUGUGGUUGGCCAGAUAGAUGGCGAUGAUGCCGAAGAUGGCGGAGGAGGCCAUAUAGGCAGUGACGGACUUUGUGAACUGAACGAUCAUGCCCAUGAAGAGAGUGGGAAAGACCUGAGAGAGGAGGAAGGUGCUGUCCAGGAUGGCAAAGUCCAACCCUACGCCACGCUUCUCGUAGCCCUCUGGCUCAUCCUGCUCGGGGACCGUGGCUUUGUGGGACGACCCAUUCUGGCCGUGGGGAGGGGGGUAGUAGUCUGAGCCGUCUUGGCUGAAGAAGGCAUGCCCGUUGGUGCCCCCCAGUUUGUGGGCCAGCCCCGCCUCCUCGGACACGGCUGUCAAAUGCGUGAUCGAGUCCUGCUUGAUCACAAUCCCGUACUUAAGCAAGUUUUUUGUUUUCUUUUUUGGCAUGUAAACCUGAAAUCCAAAGAGAGAUAAGUAAAUUCAAUACACAGUCUAGGGUUAGGCAGUGUGUGCAAGGGAGUUUGUUUGUGUAGGGCUGGACUGGGUAUGUGUACGGAGGGAGGGAGAAAAAUGAUAUGACUAUGACCAGGAUGUGAGCGUUUGUUUGUAUUGUAACAUACAUGGCUGUUGACUCAGCCCUGAUACAUGGCUGUUUACUCAGCCCUAAUACAUGGCUGUUGACUCCUACGGCAUCUAAAAGAGUCAACAGAAUUGUAUCACAGUUCAAAUAUGAUUUCAUAUGUACACUAUGCUCAGGAAGUACAGGGACCACAGAGUACUGUAUGUAUGUGUGCCUUUCUGUCCUUACCUCCAUUUCCUUGUGGUAGUGGCAGGUGAGGGUGUACGGCAGCGUCUGCAGCGUGGCAUAGGCAAAGCCGGUCAGAGCCGACAUCACGGUGACCAGGACCACACUCUUGGACAUACAGAUGACCAGGGCAGAGAUGGUGAAGCUCACCAUGCUGCUCAGGUAGACCCGGCGCGAGCCAAAAUGGCGGACCAGUCGGCUCAUGAGCAGGGAGAAGACAGUAGAGGUAGCACACUGCAGGAACAGGCCCAGGCUGCCCAUACGGAUGCCUGCAAGACAGGAUUGAAGUUGUGGUAACAAAUUAAGAUACAAGAUUAUGUAAUAUCAAUUAUGUCCCUAACAUUUAUGGGAACAAUAAUUCUAGUUAGUUAACUAGCUAAUUGUCCUAGAUUCAUGCAUAGACAAACAGACACAACCCAAGAACAAGGUCAAACAUACAGUACU